CCUACGGGAGGCAGCAGUGGGGAAUCUUGCGCAAUGGGCGAAAGCCUGACGCAGCCAUGCCGCGUGGAUGAUGAAGGUCUUAGGAUUGUAAAAUCCUUUCACCGGUGAAGAUAAUGACUGUAGCCGGAGAAGAAGCCCCGGCUAACUUCGUGCCAGCAGCCGCGGUAAUACGAAGGGGGCUAGCGUUGCUCGGAAUUACUGGGCGUAAAGGGAGCGUAGGCGGACAUUUAAGUCAGAGGUGAAAUCCCGGAGCUUAACUUCGGAACUGCCUUUGAUACUGGGUGUCUUGAGUGUGAGAGAGGUAUGUGGAACUCCGAGUGUAGAGGUGAAAUUCGUAGAUAUUCGGAAGAACACCAGUGGCGAAGGCGACAUACUGGCUCAUUACUGACGCUGAGGCUCGAAAGCGUGGGGAGCAAACAGGAUUAGAUACCCUGGUAGUCCACGCCGUAAACGAUGAUUGCUAGUUGUCGGGAAGCUUGCUUCUCGGUGACGCAGCUAACGCAUUAAGCAAUCCGCCUGGGGAGUACGGUCGCAAGAUUAAAACUCAAAGAUUAGACGCGNGAGAGAGCGACGACGACGACGAGGAGGAGAG
rnacentral:rRNA from 1 species